UUAACACAUGCAAGUCGAGGGGCAGCAUGGUCUUAUCUUGCUAAGGCCGAUGGCGACCGGCGCACGGGUGAGUAACACGUAUCCAACCUGCCGUCUACUCUUGGACAGCCUUCUGAAAGGAAGAUUAAUACAAGAUGGCAUCAUGAGUCCGCAUGUUCACAUGAUUAAAGGUAUUCCGGUAGACGAUGGGGAUGCGUUCCAUUAGAUAGUAGGCGGGGUAACGGCCCACCUAGUCUUCGAUGGAUAGGGGUUCUGAGAGGAAGGUCCCCCACAUUGGAACUGAGACACGGUCCAAACUCCUACGGGAGGCAGCAGUGAGGAAUAUUGGUCAAUGGGCGAGAGCCUGAACCAGCCAAGUAGCGUGAAGGAUGACUGCCCUAUGGGUUGUAAACUUCUUUUAUAAAGGAAUAAAGUCGGGUAUGGAUACCCGUUUGCAUGUACUUUAUGAAUAAGGAUCGGCUAACUCCGUGCCAGCAGCCGCGGUAAUACGGAGGAUCCGAGCGUUAUCCGGAUUUAUUGGGUUUAAAGGGAGCGUAGAUGGAUGUUUAAGUCAGUUGUGAAAGUUUGCGGCUCAACCGUAAAAUUGCAGUUGAUACUGGAUAUCUUGAGUGCAGUUGAGGCAGGCGGAAUUCGUGGUGUAGCGGUGAAAUGCUUAGAUAUCACGAAGAACUCCGAUUGCGAAGGCAGCCUGCUAAGCUGCAACUGACAUUGAGGCUCGAAAGUGUGGGUAUCAAACAGGAUUAGAUACCCUGGUAGUCCACACGGUAAACGAUGAAUACUCGCUGUUUGCGAUAUACAGCAAGCGGCCAAGCGAAAGCGUUAAGUAUUCCACCUGGGGAGUACGCCGGCAACGGUGAAACUCAAAGGAAUUGACGGGGGCCCGCACAAGCGGAGGAACAUGUGGUUUAAUUCGAUGAUACGCGAGGAACCUUACCCGGGCUUAAACUGCAGAUGAAUUACGGUGAAAGCCGUAAGCCGCAAGGCAUCUGUGAAGGUGCUGCAUGGUUGUCGUCAGCUCGUGCCGUGAGGUGUCGGCUUAAGUGCCAUAACGAGCGCAACCCUUGUUGUCAGUUACUAACAGGUUCCGCUGAGGACUCUGACAAGACUGCCAUCGUAAGAUGUGAGGAAGGUGGGGAUGACGUCAAAUCAGCACGGCCCUUACGUCCGGGGCUACACACGUGUUACAAUGGGGGGUACAGAGGGCCGCUACCACGCGAGUGGAUGCCAAUCCCCAAAACCUCUCUCAGUUCGGACUGGAGUCUGCAACCCGACUCCACGAAGCUGGAUUCGCUAGUAAUCGCGCAUCAGCCACGGCGCGGUGAAUACGUUCCCGGGCCUUGUACACACCGCCCGUCAAGCCAUGGGAGCCGGGGGUACCUGAAGUGCGUAACCGCGAGGAGCGCCCUAGGGUAAAACUGGUGACUGGGGCUAA
rnacentral:rRNA from 1 species